AAAUUGAAGAGUUUGAUCAUGGCUCAGAUUGAACGCUGGCGGCAGGCCUAACACAUGCAAGUCGAACGGUAACAGGAAGCAGCUUGCUGCUUCGCUGACGAGUGGCGGACGGGUGAGUAAUGUCUGGGAAACUGCCUGAUGGAGGGGGAUAACUACUGGAAACGGUGGCUAAUACCGCAUAACGUCGCAAGACCAAAGAGGGGGACCUUCGGGCCUCUUGCCAUCAGAUGUGCCCAGAUGGGAUUAGCUUGUUGGUGAGGUAACGGCUCACCAAGGCGACGAUCCCUAGCUGGUCUGAGAGGAUGACCAGCCACACUGGAACUGAGACACGGUCCAGACUCCUACGGGAGGCAGCAGUGGGGAAUAUUGCACAAUGGGCGCAAGCCUGAUGCAGCCAUGCCGCGUGUAUGAAGAAGGCCUUCGGGUUGUAAAGUACUUUCAGCGGGGAGGAAGGUGUUGUGGUUAAUAACCGCAGCAAUUGACGUUACCCGCAGAAGAAGCACCGGCUAACUCCGUGCCAGCAGCCGCGGUAAUACGGAGGGUGCAAGCGUUAAUCGGAAUUACUGGGCGUAAAGCGCACGCAGGCGGUCUGUCAAGUCGGAUGUGAAAUCCCCGGGCUCAACCUGGGAACUGCAUUCGAAACUGGCAGGCUUGAGUCUUGUAGAGGGGGGUAGAAUUCCAGGUGUAGCGGUGAAAUGCGUAGAGAUCUGGAGGAAUACCGGUGGCGAAGGCGGCCCCCUGGACAAAGACUGACGCUCAGGUGCGAAAGCGUGGGGAGCAAACAGGAUUAGAUACCCUGGUAGUCCACGCCGUAAACGAUGUCUACUUGGAGGUUGUGCCCUUGAGGCGUGGCUUCCGGAGCUAACGCGUUAAGUAGACCGCCUGGGGAGUACGGCCGCAAGGUUAAAACUCAAAUGAAUUGACGGGGGCCCGCACAAGCGGUGGAGCAUGUGGUUUAAUUCGAUGCAACGCGAAGAACCUUACCUGGUCUUGACAUCCACAGAACUUUCCAGAGAUGGAUUGGUGCCUUCGGGAACUGUGAGACAGGUGCUGCAUGGCUGUCGUCAGCUCGUGUUGUGAAAUGUUGGGUUAAGUCCCGCAACGAGCGCAACCCUUAUCCUUUGUUGCCAGCGAUUAGGUCGGGAACUC
rnacentral:rRNA from 1 species